GGUGAACGCUGGCGGUAGACCUAACACAUGCAAGUCGAACGGCAGCACAGUAAGAGCUUGCUCUUACGGGUGGCGAGUGGCGGACGGGUGAGGAAUGCAUCGGAAUCUACUUUUUCGUGGGGGAUAACGUAGGGAAACUUACGCUAAUACCGCAUACGACCUACGGGUGAAAGCAGGGGAUCUUCGGACCUUGCGCGAUUGAAUGAGCCGAUGUCGGAUUAGCUAGUUGGCGGGGUAAAGGCCCACCAAGGCGACGAUCCGUAGCUGGUCUGAGAGGAUGAUCAGCCACACUGGAACUGAGACACGGUCCAGACUCCUACGGGAGGCAGCAGUGGGGAAUAUUGGACAAUGGGCGCAAGCCUGAUCCAGCCAUACCGCGUGGGUGAAGAAGGCCUUCGGGUUGUAAAGCCCUUUUGUUGGGAAAGAAAAGCAGCAGGUUAAUACCCCGCUGUUCUGACGGUACCCAAAGAAUAAGCACCGGCUAACUUCGUG
rnacentral:rRNA from 1 species